rnacentral:rRNA from 1 species
UGGGGAAUCUUGCACAAUGGGCGAAAGCCUGAUGCAGCAACGCCGCGUGAGUGAAGAAGGCUUUUGAGUUGUAAAGCUCUUUCGAUUGGGAAGAAGGGUGGCUAGGUAAAUAAUUUAGUCAUUUGACGGUACCUAAAGAAGAAGCACCGGCUAAUUCCGUGCCAGCAGCCGCGGUAAUACGGAAGGUGCAAGCGUUGUUCGGAAUUACUGGGCGUAAAGCGCACGUAGGCGGGUUUUUAAGCCGAUUGUGAAAGCCCAGGGCUCAACCUUGGAAUUGCAGUCGGAACUGGAAAUCUUGAAUGCUUGAGAGGGUGGGAGAAUUCCUGGUGUAGAAGUGAAAUUCGUAGAUA